CUACAAUCCGCUUAUGGAAGGAAAUUUGACCACAGCGCCGACGGCGGCAGCUGAUAAAAUUUCCGACCCCCGCUUGAUUGUGACGCUGGAUGAAUGCUCUUAUCAAUGGACAAAUGAGAAACACAAUUCAUAUCUCUAUCAUUUGGAAAUGUCAUUUGUUGAACAGCUGUACCAAUCAAAAUCUGUGGUUGCACGAUGCUCACUGCACAAUCUGAGAGGCAUAAAUAUAUCUCGGAAGCAGUUCAUCACUGUUAACAAUGCUUCGUAUCAGGUUCAUCAAACUUGUUUAAUCAAAAUACGCUAAAUUCCGAGUCUCAAGCAAAAAGGUUGAAGAUAGCUUUAGAGGAUGGAUCACAUCAGGAUCAAAUUGUGCCUUAAAAGGAAUGCCAUCAAGCAGAUUACACAUAAUCAAUCAAAGGAUUUCUCACUAUGAAUCUGUCUUGAAACUUUGAGGCUUGUGUUUUACAUGGGAGCCCAUACUAUUAAAGAGGAUCGUGAAGAUUCAAAUGAGGUGCAAGAUUUCAAGUUUCCCCUAGCAUUGCAUAAUCGAGGUAACAUAUAAAGCUGAGUCCAUGUCAAGUGAUAGUGAAGGAUGGGAUCCUGUGGCAUUUUGAUACCCCAAAAGUAAGACCCAUACCGUUUCUCGCAGUAGACUAGUAGGAACACAACCUUCGUGCCUUCACAAACUC